rnacentral:rRNA from 1 species
AACAAACGCUGGCGGCGUGCCUAACACAUGCAAGUCGUACGAGAAAUCCUGGGCAACUGGGAGAGUAAAGUGGCGCACGGGUGAGUAACGCGUGGGUAACCUGCCCUUGAAUUGGGGAUAACUCCGCGAAAGCGGGGUUAAUACCGAAUGAUAUUCCGAUUCCUCCGGGAGUUGGAAUCAAAGGUGGCCUCUGCAUGCAAGCUACUGUUCAUGGAUGGGCCCGCGGACCAUUAGCUAGUUGGUAGGGUAACGGCCUACCAAGGCAUCGAUGGUUAGCUGGUCUGAGAGGAUGGCCAGCCAAACUGGAACUGAGACACGGUCCAGACUCCUACGGGAGGCAGCAGUGGGGAAUCUUGCGCAAUGGGGGAAACCCUGACGCAGCAACGCCGCGUGGGUGAUGAAGGCCUUCGGGUCGUAAAGCCCUGUCAGGUGGGAAGAACCGUAUCGGUGCAAACAGUGCCGAUGCUUGACGGUACCACCGGAGGAAGCACCGGCUAACUCCGUGCCAGCAGCCGCCGUAAAAC